AGAACUUGCCUAAGCGAUGGAGCUCUGCUUCCAGCCAGCUCUGGCUCCAGAGACGGCGCAUCUAACUGCCUUCCAAUUAUUAGUAAACAAAAUAUUAACUUCUGGAGUUAAACAAGGCAUUCUGAUGCAGCCAUAUGAAACUAGAACAAUAUUAUUGUAAAUGAAUCUCUCCAACAGUCAUCCAUAAUGGUCGUGCCCCGCCCACCCUUGGGGACAGAGUGAAGAUGUCACUUCACACGUGGCUGGGAAAAUAAAAGCCGCAAGUCGGGUGACUGUGUGUCAGGGCAGCGGAAACACCAUGUCCCCUUCUCUGCAGAGGUUUGGCAGCUGCGGUCCCCGAGGGCGGAGUUGCGAAAGAGCAAACUCCGGGCACGUUUGUGACCUUGGCACCCAGACUUCCAAACAGGACCAUGCCAUGUCCCACUCCCGCUCGAGCCCCACGGGGUCCAUGCUCGGCUGGGAUGCCAGCCCACGACACAGUAAUACAAACAGGAACGCGUGAGCCCCCAAGGAGGCGUGGGGCAUCCCCUCCGCGCUGGGUCCUCUCUACGAAGCCUCUUGUCACACGUCCUGCAGAGCAAGCCUGCCUGCCACAGACAGGAAGCGGGUCCCUCCAGGUUCCCUCAGCCACCAGCGCCCAAGGCCAUAUGCGAAGGGUGAUGGCUUCAGAGACCCCCUGGGGUAGAAACACUACCUGGCAGAAGCCCCUUUCA